rnacentral:rRNA from 1 species
UAAACGGACCAUCGAGUAUCCAUUGGAGGGCAAGUCUGGUGCCAGCAGCUGCGGUAAUACCAGCUCCAAUAGCGUAUAUUAAAGUUGUUGCAGUUAAAAAGCUCGUAGUUGGACUUGUGUGCGCUGUCCGCGGGUGGCCUGCGCCCAAAAGGGCGUUUCGGUUCGGCCCCGGUGGCGCCUUGAAAUCUGCAGCUGGGAGGACGUUGGCCUUAACUGGUCGGCGACCGCACGCCGGCUGCUCGGUUACUGUGAGAAAAUUAGAGUGUUCAAGGCAGGCAUUGGGUGCAAUUGAAUACAUUAGCAUGGAAUAAUAAAAUAUGGCUCCUGCCGUAUUUUGUUGGUUUUGACUGGUGGGAGUAAUGAUUGAUAGGGACGGUUGGGGGUGCUAGUAUUGAGCGGCCAGAGGUGAAAUUCAUGGAUUCGCUCAAGGCUAACUUAUGCGAAAGCAUUCACCAAGGACGUCCUCUUUAAUCAAGAACGAAAGUUGGGGGAUCGAAGACGAUCAGAUACCGUCGUAGUCUCAACCAUAAACUAUGUCGACUUGGGAUCGGCGGUAGUUUUUUCAUUAAGACACUGUCGGGACCACGGGAGAAAUCAAAGUGUCUGGACUCUGGGGGAAGUAUGGUCGCAAGGCUGAAACUUGAAGGAAUUGACGGAAGGGCACCACCAGGAGUGGAGCCUGCGGCUUAAUUUGACUCAACACGGGGAAACUUACCAGGUCCAGAGAUGUAGAGGAUUGACAGAUUGAAGCUCUUUCUUGAUCACUUCGGUGGUGGUGCAUGGCCGUUCUUAGUUGGUGGAGUGAUUUGUCUGGUUAAUUCCGUUAACGAACGAGACCUCAGCCUGCUAGUGUAGUCGGCUGGAUUGCCUUUGGCGAUCCGUGAUUUCGACUUCUUAGAGGGACAAUCGACGCGCAGUCGAUGGAAGUUUGAGGCAAUAACAGGUCUGUGAUGCCCUUAGAUGUUCUGGGCCGCACGCGCGCUACACUGCUGGGCUCAGCGAGUUUUACUUGGCCGAGAGGCCCGGUUAAUCUUGUGAAAUCCCAGCGUGCUUGGGCUCGCCUCCUGCAACUGGAGGCGCCAACGAGGAAUUCCUAGUAGACGCAGGUCAUCAACCUGCAUCGAUUACGUCCCUGCCCUUUGUACACACCGCCCGUCGUUCCAUAAGAGUGAGGCAUCCGGUGAAUUCUCGGGAGAGCCUGGGCGUGGCCAGCAAUGGUCUGCUCGGGUUUGAACUUGCAUAAACUUGGUGCCUAUGAUUAGGG